rnacentral:rRNA from 1 species
CUACGGGCGGCUGCAGUGGGGAAUAUUGCACAAUGGGGGAAACCCUGAUGCAGCCAUGCCGCGUGUGUGAAGAAGGCCUUCGGGUUGUAAAGCACUUUCAGCGAGGAGGAAAGGUUGUUGGCUAAUACCCAGCAACUGUGACGUUACUCGCAGAAGAAGCACCGGCUAACUCCGUGCCAGCAGCCGCGGUAAUACGGAGGGUGCAAGCGUUAAUCGGAAUUACUGGGCGUAAAGCGCACGCAGGCGGUUGGAUAAGUUAGAUGUGAAAGCCCCGGGCUCAACCUGGGAAUUGCAUUUAAAACUGUCCAGCUAGAGUCUUGUAGAGGGGGGUAGAAUUCCAGGUGUAGCGGUGAAAUGCGUAGAGAUCUGGAGGAAUACCGGUGGCGAAGGCGGCCCCCUGGACAAAGACUGACGCUCAGGUGCGAAAGCGUGGGGAGCAAACAGGAUUAGAUACCCUUGUAGUC